CAAUAGCGUAUAUUAAAGUUGUUGCAGUUAAAAAGCUCGUAGUUGGAUCUGUGGUGUGCGGUGGGCUCCGGGCACUUGUUGUCUGAGUAGCUCGCCGCUGCCAUCCUUGGGUGGAACCUGUGUGGCAUUAGGUUGUCGUGCAGGGGAUGCCCAUCGUUUACUGUGAAAAAAUUAGAGUGUUCAAAGCAGGCUUAUGCCGUUGAAUAUAUUAGCAUGGAAUAAUGAGAUAGGACUUUUUCGCUAUUUUGUUGGUUUGCGCGAAGAGGUAAUGAUUAAUAGGGACAGUUGGGGGGUAUUCGUAUUCCAUUGUCAGAGGUGAAAUUCUUGGAUUUUUGGAAGACGAACUACUGCGAAAGCAUUUACCAGGGAUGUUUUCAUUAA
rnacentral:rRNA from 1 species